rnacentral:rRNA from 1 species
AUGCUCGAGGCCACUUGGCCUUGUUUCGAUCUGGAUGCGUCGAGACCAUCGUUGCAACGUCGCGACCUCUGCCCCGGAGUACCUCAAGUUCGUCUACAUGAAACUCCCAAGUACCUCUACGCACGAAUACCGUCAAGUACCUACACCAGCAGGCUACACGGACGUUCGUUCCACUACAACACCGAAACGUCAAGUUCGACUAUGUUUUGUUGCCCCGUCCGAAGUCGUCAAGUACCCGAAGACCAUAUUGGCACCAAGUACAUCUACGCCGUCUUCGGAAUUGUCAAGAAUGCCAAGCACCACGACACCCAGAUCCCUCGGAUAUGUCAAGUUCAACUAACGUCGCAAGAACGAGACCGGCAGGUCCGAAGACCCCGAGUACCACGACGACCCUCGAAGAACUCGGAACCGUCAAGUUCGAAUACCGUCGCGUGA